GCAGUCCCGGCUGCAGCACCUGGGAGAAGGCAGACCGUGUGAGGGGGCCUGUGGCCCCAGCGUGCUGUGGCCUCCGGGAGUGGGAAGUGGAGGCAGGAGCCUUCCUUACACUUCGCCAUGAGUUUCCUGAUCGACUCCAGCAUCAUGAUUACCUCCCAGAUACUAUUUUUUGGAUUUGGGUGGCUUUUCUUCAUGCGCCAAUUGUUUAAAGACUAUGAGAUACGUCAGUAUGUUGUACAGGUGAUCUUCUCCGUGACGUUUGCAUUUUCUUGCACCAUGUUUGAGCUCAUCAUCUUUGAAAUCUUAGGAGUAUUGAAUAGCAGCUCCCGUUAUUUUCACUGGAAAAUGAACCUGUGUGUAAUUCUGCUGAUCCUGGUUUUCAUGGUGCCUUUUUACAUUGGCUAUUUUAUUGUGAGCAAUAUCCGACUACUUUUGUCUCCUCUGUCUCAGUGCAUAAACAACGACUGCUUUUUUCCUGUCUCUUAUGGCUGACCUUUAUGUAUUUCUUCUGGAAACUAGGAGAUCCCUUUCCCAUUCUCAGCCCAAAACAUGGGAUCUUAUCCAUAGAACAGCUCAUCAGCCGGGUUGGUGUGAUUGGAGUGACUCUCAUGGCUCUUCUUUCUGGAUUUGGUGCUGUCAACUGCCCAUACACUUACAUGUCUUACUUCCUCAGGAAUGUGACUGACACGGAUAUUCUAGCCCUGGAACGGCGACUGCUGCAAACCAUGGAUAUGAUCAUAAGCAAAAAGAAAAGGAUGGCAAUGGCACGGAGAACAAUGUUCCAGAAGGGGGAAGUGCAUAACAAACCAUCAGGUUUCUGGGGAAUGAUAAAAAGUGUUACCACUUCAGCAUCAGGAAGUGAAACUUCACUUUCCUUAUGUGCAAAAUGGAUAACACCAUGGCAUAAGACAAUCCCAUGAAGAUAAGAUAUAAAAGAAGAUAAUGUUUGAAAAGAAAUAAGGUAAUGUCUGUAAAUCCUAGCCUAUAUUAGAACACAGUAAAGUAUUAGUUCCCUUUUCUAACAUUAUAUUCAGAUAAUGUAGGAGAAAGCUAUGCUUUAUUAUAGUUAUUAUUCUGUAACUAUUUACAAUCUUGAACAUUACAUUUGACUUAAUCUAACUAGAUAAAUCAAAAAACAAAUGAAACUAUCUGUUUGAGCUGCUUGACUUAAGAGAAACUGAGUGGUAAUUGUUUGGUGGCGAUGCUCUUGAUGGAGAAGCUUUUACACACCUGCGUCAGAGGUUGGGAAAGUUGCUCUGAAGUAGUGUUGCUGGCUAUGAAACAGGAAAUUGAGAAUAUAGGCAACUCCGGGAAUCCACUGUAGGAAAAACUAAAAGUAUAUGCUUUCUCAUUGCCAUUUCUUGAAAUUCCUAUGUGAUUAAAACCUUGAUGCCCAUUCUGUGCCAGAUCUUACUCUUAUUCAACAGGAAGUGGAUGCUUUGGAAGAAUUAAGCAGGCAGCUUUUUCUGGAAACAGCUGAUCUAUAUGCUACCAAGGAGAGAAUAGAAUACUCCAAAACCUUCAAGGGGAAAUAUUUUAAUUUUCUUGGUUACUUUUUCUCUAUUUACUGUGUUUGGAAAAUUUUCAUGGCUACCAUCAAUAUUGUUUUUGAUCGAGUUGGGAAAACGGAUCCUGUCACAAGAGGCAUUGAGAUCACUGUGAAUUAUCUGGGAAUCCAAUUUGAUGUGAAGUUUUGGUCCCAACACAUUUCCUUCAUUCUUGUUGGAAUAAUCAUCGUCACAUCCAUCAGAGGAUUGCUGAUCACUCUUACCAAGUUCUUUUAUGCCAUCUCUAGCAGUAAGUCCUCCAAUGUCAUUGUCCUGCUAUUAGCACAGAUAAUGGGCAUGUACUUUGUCUCCUCUGUGCUGCUGAUCCGAAUGAGUAUGCCUUUAGAAUACCGCACCAUAAUCACUGAAGUCCUUGGAGAACUGCAGUUCAACUUCUAUCACCGUUGGUUUGAUGUGAUCUUCCUGGUCAGCGCUCUCUCUAGCAUACUCUUCCUCUAUUUGGCUCACAAACAGGCACCAGAGAAGCAAAUGGCACCUUGAACUUAAGCCUACUACAGACUGUUAGAGGUGAUACUAUGACCAUGAGUAGCAUCAGCCAGAACAUGAGAGGGAGAACUAACUCAAGACAAUACUCAGCAGAGAGCAUCCCGUGUGGAUAUGAGGCUGGUGUAGAGGCGGAGAGGAGCCAAGAAACUAAAGGUUAAAUAAGCCUUAGAAACUAUUUUAAAUUUACCACUGGUCUGCUGCUGUAUCACUUGCCAAAUCAUGACCUACCACCAGUGCUUCUCCAGCCCCAGAAAGAACAUAGGCAGAGGCAGUGUUCAAGAAGGAAUCGACCAGCUAACACAGCUCCUCUGGUUCCAACCAAUACCCCAGAGCCACGGUCAACUGAACACAGGAAUCCCCAUCCAGAACUAGUAAAGUCACUGAAUUCCCACUCUUUCUGACCAGAUCCACAACCUAGGAGGGAAGAAGAAAAAGUCUCCGGGCACACCCCUGAGUAAUCCAAAGGCCAUCAGACGGAUUCUCGUGCUGGACUUUCCCCUACCUUAGGCCACAUCUCACUAUGGAGUGAGGAUCAAGAAGUAAAGGUCUGGGAAGGAGAGAGCUGCAGGGGCCAGGGAGACUCUUCGUGAGUCGGAGAGCCAUCAGCGGCCCAAGGAAAAGGGAGGAUCGUGGGGAGACGAGGGGAGCAGUGGAGAUGAGGGGAGCAGCGGAGACAGAGUCUCACGCACAGAUCUGGAUUUUCAUCUGGUAUUGGAUUCCUUCUGCCCGGAAGACUCCUUUGACGUUUCUGUAGUGUGGGUCAGCUGGUAGUGAAUUCGGUCAGCUUAUGAACUCAAAAGAGGUGUAGGAGGAGAGAAGCUCAAUUAUCACCCUGGUCUCCUGGAGUAUCCCAGGCACAGUCCCAAGAGUUCAGCUUUUCAUACUCGAGUUCCUGGGUCCUGAAGGCCUUUUUGGGGAAAGUACUGAUGUUCGUGUCAAGGUUGGGAAGAAAGGGUUUGGGAGGAACCAAGCAACAGGGAGGCAAAGAGAAGACAUCAACAAGCGAGGCAAGAACUUUCCACAGGCUCACACUGGAUACAGGACCAGAGACAAGAAGCUGGCGAAGCCUAUAUGGGUUCCCGAUGUCACAUCGCAGCUACCGCAUUGGAGGGUUAAGAGCCGCUGACAAAUCUCUUUCGGGAAGGGGUAAGAAGCGCAGCUGGCCCAGAGCCAUGGAGAGAGACGCAAGAGCAGAACCGAAAAUACUUUUCUCCAUCUUGUUUUCUCUCUGCUGUCGGUGAACAUUAACCUUCCACACACACCGGGUCAAUACUGCCUUGGUCUCUACAGGAGGUUUACCAUUUUUUACAGUUCCCGCUGUUUCCCUCCCUGUUUUCCUCAGAAGAAGAGUUCCAAACAAAAGAUCUACUACCCUGAGAAGCGGUGAAGUGCUCCUGGGGCCCACCAAGGCCACACAAGUCAAGGAGUGGAUGGCCUUGCCCCAGCUAUGGCUCAGAUCACCUUUGCAGGAUGACAUCUUGUUGGGAGAUGGUCAUCAGAGACAGGGCCAUGGAAGACGCUGUCAGGAGGAGGCACAGAGGAAAGGCUAUGGGAGCACAAAGCAAGAAAGUGGCCUUCUGCAAGCCAGGAAGAGAGGCCUCCCCAGAAACCAACUCUACCAGCACAUUGAUCUUGGACUUUUGGCCUCUAGAACAUUGAGAAAAUAAAAGUCUGCUGUUAAACCACCCAA